UACGUAGGAUGCAAGCGUUGUCCGGAAUUAUUGGGCGUAAAGAGCGCGCAGGCGGUCUAUCAAGUCAGAUGUGAAAUAUCCUGGCUUAACCGGGAGGGGUCAUUUGAAACUGGUAGACUAGAGUACAGCAGAGGAUAGCGGAAUUCCCGGUGUAGUGGUGAAAUGCGUAGAUAUCGGGAGGAACACCAGUGGCGAAGGCGGCUAUCUGGGCUGAAACUGACGCUGAGGCGCGAAGGCUAGGGGAGCAAACGGG
rnacentral:rRNA from 1 species